CGUCGGGUAGCUCAACUGGAAGAGCCCUGUCUUGAUAAGACAAAAUAUGUGGGUUCAAAUCCCACCCCAGCGA
rnacentral:tRNA from 1 species